GUGGGGAAUAUUGGACAAUGGGCGAAAGCCUGAUCCAGCCAUGCCGCGUGUGUGAAGAAGGUCUUCGGAUUGUAAAGCACUUUAAGUUGGGAGGAAGGGCAGUAAGUUAAUACCUUGCUGUUUUGCCGUUACCGACAGAAUAAGCACCGGCUAACUUCGUGCCAGCAGCCGCGGUAAUACGAAGGGUGCAAGCGUUAAUCGGAAUUACUGGGCGUAAAGCGCGCGUAGGUGGUUUUGUAAGUUGGAGGUGAAAUCCCCGGGCUCAACCUGGGAACUGCCUCCAAAACUGCAUGACUAGAGUACGGUAGAGGGUAGUGGAAUUUCCUGUGUAGCGGUGAAAUGCGUAGAUAUAGGAAGGAACACCAGUGGCGAAGGCGACUACCUGGACUGAUACUGACACUGAGGUGCGAAAGCGUGGGGAGCAAACAGGAUUAGAAACCCCAGUAGUC
rnacentral:rRNA from 1 species